AAAUAAACCUGAUUGCAACGAAAAUGCUUUUACAAAACCGAAAAGGUUUGCAAAACCUGUUUGGUUGGAAAAGUAUUGUAGUGUAAAGCAGGGCUGUAG
rnacentral:sRNA from 1 species